GAACGUAAUGGUCAGCUAAAGAAUUUAAUUCGUAAUGACGGGGUCACAGGUUCGAGUCCUGUUUGCGCACCA
rnacentral:tRNA from 1 species